GGUUGUCUGGUCCAGAGGCUUCCCUAGGGUGAAGAGCUCUACUAUGUAUGCUUUAUGCGGCAGAGGGAGUGCUUUGGAGGAGUUUUUAAAUUUCUGUUUUUUUAAAAAAUCUUAUCCCAUCGGUUUUAAUUGUAGCAAUGAUUCAAGAAACGUUGGUAGGUGCCCAUAACUUUGGUGGUGGAGAUCCAAAAGUGAACAAGACAGUGUUCUGGCUGCUAAGUUCUUCUUAACUGGUUAUGCCUGGAGACCUUCACUUGGUUCUAUGCCAGCACUGCCCAUGAACUUCAUAGACUGAUCUUUGCUAAGGCCUAAAUGAAUGAAGAAUCUGAUGCUCGGCUGUCUGAAACCUAUUUCUGUAAUGAAAAUUAUGGGCUUACAUAUCCAGCAUUGUUUCUUAAAUAGAACUAGAAAUAAUAGCCUAAGAAAUGUACCAUCAGCUGGAACUGGAAAGAAUUGUGAUACUUGAAGAGACUUAGCACUUGGUGGACUAUGAUUUUCUAUCAAUCAAGUCAAGCAUUGCUACCCAGUCUUCACUACAGAGUCCACCGGAAAGAAUGAUCCAACAGUAAAAUGCUUUAUGAACUAUCCAUAUGGAAACCAUUGGCAAUAACACAUCCUGGCAUAUGGCUCUGAGACGUGUAAAGGCACAGUGAAUUCCUGAAUCAUCCUUUGAUCUUCCACAAGACUCAGUAUCACUGAUUAACUACAAUUUGAAUAUAGUUCAUCACUGAAGGAAUGAGUGAGUGAAUGAGAAAGUGAGCAAAUGAGGCCAUGGAGGUCACUUAAACGAGGGAUCAGGUUCAUAGAGGUCACCCAACACAAGAUGGAAUAGUCAAGUAAACCAAGUUUACAGAGUUAGACAAAACUCCAUAAGGCAAGGUCAACAAAGGCAGCUCUGACAGACUGUUCAAUCCUGACUUUAGGCUGAUGCUGGUCUCCACUCUGUCUUCCUCCUGAGAGUAGGUGGCCUGGGGGCCCUUAAAUAAUUGCUAGUGUUAAAAGGGAGUUCAAUAUUUUCAAGUGUACCUAGCUUCUGUUUGAAGAGAGACAGGGUAGAAGAAUUACCUGGAAGGGAUAGGGUACACACUGCCACCUCCAUUGCUGUAAUGUUUUACUCUUGUCAACAGACUUUCACAUAUAUGCUCUUGAGUCAAGCACAGGAAGAAAUAAAUUUUGCUACUGAAUUUGAAGCAAUUGGCCAUGGAAGCCAGUCUUCAGGGGCAUUAAAACAAAUGCCUAACAAAAGUUUAUUAUAAGGCACUUGCUCUACCUGAACUCAUUUCAUCCUCAGACAAAACCUAAGAAGUAAAAAUUAAUAUCCUUCCCUUUUCACAAGAUGAUGGAAUCAAGAGCCUUAACAAGUUUUAAUGGCCUGCCCAGGGUCGUUUGUCAACUUCUGAGUCUAAUGUCUAUGUUCUACUCAUGACAUGGCAGUUGUGGUAUAGAGGGGUCUGAUACAUCAUGAAAAUAUAAACCCACAGAUUUUGAUUCUAAGAAAGUGACCCAAGUUGUGUUCAUUAUGGUUUUGCUUAAAAUUAAAGUUGAGAUUGAAA
rnacentral:lncRNA from 1 species